GGGGUGCUGGAGCCCCCCGGCCCCCCGGUUUAGCCCCCACCCCACUCACCCCCCGGCUCUGGAGCUUCCUGCGCGCCACCAGCCGCUCCUUGAAAUGCCGCCAGUACAGCACCUCCAGGAAUCACUCACAGGCUGCAGAGAACCAUCUGGUGAAAUCCUGGAGCUUCCUCGGGCCCCUCCUCUUCCUCUUGCCUCCAGUCACCUCAUCCAGGCCGUGUGGCACCUGGAAGGGCCUCCCUGCAGCACAGCCCAGUCCUGAGGGACGAAUUCACCCCUCAGCCUCCUCUCCAGCGUCCUGGAUGGGCACGGGGAGCCCAGGACACCCCUGGCAGGUGCCACCCCUCACCUGCCUCCUCGCAGAAGCUCAGCGCCCGCGCCAGGGCCGUGCCAGAGCUCGGACGCUCCGCGGGGCUGGAUCGUGGAGCCACUGCCGGGGACAGUGACAGGCCAGACUGGGGGAAAUCCCUGGAGCUGGAGCAGCCUGGGACAGUGGAUGGGCUGGCACCCAUCCACGGUGGCACUGGAUGGGCUUUGAGGUCCCCUCCCACCCAAAACAUUCCGGGACUCCGUGGUCAAAAAGCUCCAACAUCCCAGGAUUUUGUGACAAAACAGGAUCUCAUUUUGGAGAAAUGGAGAACAGCAGAAUUUUCCUGCCGUUCCCUGGGGCUGCCAACACCUCCAAAAGGACCCAAUUUCGGAACGACCAGCCGAAAUCCUUUCGUCCCCACCAACAACCCCAGGGGGGAUUCCGGGGCGACCCCAGGGGCUGCUCAGGGGUCCUGGGGUGGGAUGGGGAGGGGGCAGGGGCCAGCUGUGUGCUCACCUUCCUGCUGUAG